rnacentral:rRNA from 1 species
GGGGGAUAUUGCACAAUGGGGGAAACCCUGAUGCAGCGACGCCGCGUGGAGGAAGAAGGUUUUCGGAUUGUAAACUCCUGUCGUUAGGGACGAUGAUGAUGGUACCUAACAAGAAAGCACCGGCUAACUACGUGCCAGCAGCCGCGGUAAAACGUAGGGUGCAAGCGUUGUCCGGAAUUACUGGGUGUAAAGGGAGCGCAGGCGGACCGGCAAGUUGGAAGUGAAAACUAUGGGCUCAACCCAUAAAUUGCUUUCAAAACUGCUGGCCUUGAGUAGUGCAGAGGUAGGUGGAAUUCCCGGUGUAGCGGUGGAAUGCGUAGAUAUCGGGAGGAACACCACUGGCGAAGGCGACCUACUGGGCACCAACUGACGCUGAGGCUCGAAAGCAUGGGUAGCAAAC